rnacentral:rRNA from 1 species
UACGUAGGAUGCAAGCGUUGUCCGGAAUUAUUGGGCGUAAAGAGCGAGCAGGCGGUUUGGAAAGUUGGACGUGAAAUUUUAGGGCUUAACCCUAAAGGGUCGUCCAAAACUCCCAGACUAGAGUGCAGGAGAGGAAAGCGGAAUUCCCGGUGUAGUGGUGAAAUGCGUAGAUAUCGGGAGGAACACCUGUGGCGAAAGCGGCUCACUGGACCACUACUGACGCUGAUGCGCGAAAGCUAGGGGAGCAAACAGG